rnacentral:rRNA from 1 species
AUACGGAGGUUGCGAGCGUUAAUCGGAAUUACUGGGCGUAAAGCGUACGUAGGCGGUUGGUUAAGUUAGAUGUGAAAGCCCCGGGCUUAACCUGGGAACUGCAUUUAAAACUGGCGAACUAGAGUUGAGUAGAGGGGAGUGGAAUUUCAGGUGUAGCGGUGAAAUGCGUAGAGAUCUGAAGGAACACCAGUGGCGAAGGCGACUCCCUGGACUCGAACUGACGCUGAGGUACGAAAGCGUGGGUAGCAAACGGGAUUAGAAACCCUAGUAGUCC